CGAGGUAGCAAUACCUAGCGGCAGACGGGUGCGUAACAUGUGGGAAUCUGUCUUUUGGUUCGGAACAACACGAGGAAACUUGUGCUAAUACCGGAUAAGUCUUUACGGAGAAAGCUUUAUGCACCAUUGGAUGAGCCCGCACUUGAUUAGCUAGUUGGUAAGGUAAUGGCUUACCAAGGCAACGAUCAAUAGCUGUUCUUAGAGGAAGACCAGCCACAUUGGGACUGAGACACGGCCCAAACCCC
rnacentral:rRNA from 1 species